CAUAUAAGUUCUUUAUAUUUUGCGAUUUUUUGUGUGUGCAGAGGAUGAUGUAAGUGGAGCUGUGAUAUGUGCCCCCUGCAAGUUUCUAUGUGAUAUUAAGUUCAUAUUAGUCUUGUUUAAGAAAAUUUAUCGGUUAGCAAAACUGUUAAACUUGUUUCUAGUCACACUUGUGUUAUGUAAAAUUUAGCAGAGUCACAAAGAUAAAUCUAUGCAAUGUAUACUAAAUUGUUAUGCAGAUGAAUUAACUAAAGUAUGCAGAAAUUAAUUAACCUCAUCAGAUUUUUUGGAAUCUCUCUUCUCUUAGAUUCUUAUCAUGAAUUAAUGUGAUUUCUAAUAACACAUCAUAAAGUCAACACAAGGUGUUGAGGAAAUUGGUAGGUCCCAGAUUGCAAAUUUGCAACUCAUCAUUUGAUUAUUUCCUUUCAUGAAUUGAAAAAUGAGCUAUUCAUGGACCUCACAUGAUCCUUAGUUGUGUGAACAACAAUUGCUAAUACUUUAUCUACUCUAUAAACAACAAUUUUCAAUGAAUGAAAAUAGAAUUGGAAGUUGGAACCAAAGUUUGAAUUAGUCACUGUGUAGUGUGUUGUAGUUAGCUGUCACUUUUGGAUGUCUCUUUCUAUGUGUACAUAUACUUGACUCAUUUUACAUGGAGUUUGGUUGAUCAGAAGCUUCUCUUUUCUGUCUUUUUUCACUCAUCUUGGACCCUUCCUGCAUUUAUAUCUAGUUUAUCUGACUAUGAUCUCUAAAGGCGGGUCCUUGUCCUCUACUAUCAUGGAAGCACUGAUGCCUGUAAUUUCUAGGUGGUCUUUCAAAUCUAAGAAUAGUUUGAACAUGUCCACAUUGGACUUGUGGAAAGAGGUGAAUAACUUUGAAAGAUAAGGCAAGUAGUGUAUGCAAAUGCAACCGUAAAAUUACUAUGUUAAACUUAAAUAGUUUUCAUUCAUGUUUCCGUUAUAAUUGGGAUAAUGUUCAUUAAGCGCAACUCUUUUCGGUUUUGUAACUUUGUUAAAUAAACUUUAUAUUCUUCA